rnacentral:lncRNA from 1 species
CUAGUUGGUGGAAAGACAGCUACUUGUUGGAAAACAAGCAUCCACCUCAUCUCUGCACAUUCUGGACCAAGCUGUAAUGAAAUUUCUUGUGGCCUCAUCGUUUCUGGUCCAUCUCUCAUCCAUCUUCUGUAUUGCAUUUGAGAUGUUCUGUAGCCUCUCCUGAAGAGUUUCAAUGCUGAACUGAUGCCAUCCUAUCUUGUCGUAGGCGUAUGCUGAUAGCUCAUUCAGUUCCUCGUGCGACCAUAUGUCUAUUGAUCGUUGACGGUGCAAUACUGUCGAUCGAUUUGGAGCAUGCUAUGUCGAUCGAUGCUGAUAUCUGGUGUUGAGAUGCGAGUUGCCUUUGAAUGGCUUUGACUUCCUUCUGUAGCCACUCUGCUUGGCUAUCUAGUCCACCGAGUCUGACGUCGAAUGGAAAGUAGAUGUCAUCACACCGCUUCUCAAGUCGUUCCUCCAUGGUGUCUAUAGCAGUGUAAA